ACAAAGUAAAAGCAACAAUGCUGAGUACAGGUGGAAAAAUGUCACAAGUGGAUCCUGCAGUCUUCUAUUGGCUUGAUCAAGACUGUAAUAUGACUGUAAUGUGACUGGAGUACUUGCCUGUCAUGUUGAUGAGUUCAUCUGGGGUGGCUCACAGACCUUUGCUACUACUGUGAUUCCACACCGCAAAACUGGUUUCCAGGUCGUCCACAAAGGAGCAGCUUGCUGACUGUCUGACAAAAAAGUUCAGUCCUGAGCAGCCUGUGAGAUCAGAGACUGUGGGCUAUGUGAAGAAGCCGUCCCUUAAAGACAAGGUCCACUGUGUCGUCUUUGUGGUGGAUGCUUCUAAAGUGUCCAGCUACACCAAAGGCCUGGGCACCACCUUCCAACAGCUCCGAGAACACAUCAGUGACCUGGGUUUGUCAUCUGAUUUCUUUGAGUCUGGUGGAUAUGGAUGUAACCAUACUACAAGGCAGGACAGUUUUCUGCAUCCAGCUUGAGGCUUGGUACCAGCAGGAAUAUGGAGC
rnacentral:lncRNA from 1 species